rnacentral:tRNA from 1 species
AUAAAGAUAGCUUAAAAUAAAAGUCACAGUCUCUUAACCUGUAAGAUGUAUAAUAAUAUACUCUUUAUA